CCGAAAGGUCAAGAGCCAAGUAACGGCGAGUGAAGAGGGAAGAGCCCAAGAUUGAAAGCUGGCGUCUUCGGCGUCCGCAUUGUAAUCUCAAGAAGUGUUUUCCGCUUCGGACCAUGCCUAAGUCCCUUGGAAAAGGGCAUCAUAGAGGGUGAUAAUCCCGUACAUGGCAUGGAGCGCCCGAGGCUUUGUGAUACGCUUUCUAAGAGUCGAGUUGUUUGGGAAUGCAGCUCAAAAUGGGUGGUAAAUGCCAUCUAAGGCUAAAUAUUGGGGAGAGACCGAUAGCGAACAAGUACAGUGAUGGAAAGAUGAAAAGAACUUUGAAAAGAGAGUUAAACAGUACGUGAAAUUGCCAAAAGGGAAGGGUAGGAGGUCAGAGAUGCGUCUUGGGAUUCAGCCUUGCUUUUGCUUGGUGUUUUUCCCAAGUUGCAGGCCAACGUCGGUUUUGGGCACUGGAGAAGGGUGGAAGGAACGUGGCACCUCUCGGGGUGUGUUAUAGCCUUCUACUGGAUACAGCGACCGAGACCGAGGACAGCAGCGUACUCGCAAGAGCGGGCCUUCGGGCACCUUUACGCUUAGGGCGUUGGCAUAAUGGCCCUCUACCACCCUCUGAAAAAAGGGAAAAA
rnacentral:rRNA from 1 species